rnacentral:rRNA from 1 species
AGAUUGAACGCUGGCGGCAGGCCUAACACAUGCAAGUCGAGCGGCAGCACGGGUACUUGUACCUGGUGGCGAGCGGCGGACGGGUGAGUAAUGCCUAGGAAUCUGCCUGGUAGUGGGGGGAUAACGCUCGGAAACGGACGCUAAUACCGCAUACGUCCUACGGGAGAAAGCAGGGGACCUUCGGGCCUUGCGCUAUCAGAUGAGCCUAGGUCGGAUUAGCUAGUUGGUGAGGUAAUGGCUCACCAAGGCGACGAUCCGUAACUGGUCUGAGAGGAUGAUCAGUCGCACUGGAACUGAGACACGGUCCAGACUCCUACGGGAGGCAGCAGUGGGAAUAUUGGACAAUGGGCGCAAGCCUGAUCCAGCCAUACCGCGUGGGUGAAGAAGGCUUCGGUGUAAAGCCGUUUUGUGGAAAGAAAGCAAUCGGUUAAUACCGGUUGUUCCGACGUACCAAAGAUAAGCACGCUAACUUCGUGACCAGCAGCCGACGGUAA